rnacentral:tRNA from 1 species
GUUCUUGUAGCUCAGUUGGUAGAGCAAGCGGCUGUUAACCGCUAGGUCGUAGGUUCAAGUCCUACCUAGAACGCCA